CUCGUAGGCGGUCUGUCACGUCGGCUGUGAAAACCCGGGGCUCAACCCCGGGCCUGCAGUCGAUACGGGCAGACUAGAGUGCGGUAGGGGAGACUGGAAUUCCUGGUGUAGCGGUGAAAUGCGCAGAUAUCAGGAGGAACACCGGUGGCGAAGGCGGGUCUCUGGGCCGUAACUGACGCUGAGGAGCGAAAGCGUGGGGAGCGAACA
rnacentral:rRNA from 1 species